rnacentral:rRNA from 1 species
CUACGGGCAGCUCCAGUGGGGAAUAUUGCACAAUGGAGGAAACUCUGAUGCAGCAACGCCGCGUGGAGGAUGACACUUUUCGGAGCGUAAACUCCUUUUAUAUAGGAAGAAGAUGACGGUACUAUAUGAAUAAGCGCCGGCUAACUCCGUGCCAGCAGCCGCAGUAAUACGGAGGGCGCAAGCGUUACUCGGAAUCACUGGGCGUAAAGAGCGUGUAGGCGGAUUAAAAAGUCAGAAGUGAAAUCCUAUAGCUUAACUAUAGAACUGCUUCUGAAACUCUUAAUCUAGAAUAUGGGAGAGGUAGAUGGAAUUUCUGGUGUAGGGGUAAAAUCCGUAGAGAUCAGAAGGAAUACCGAUUGCGAAGGCGAUCUACUAGAACAUUAUUGACGCUGAGACGCGAAAGCGUGGGGAGCAAACAGGAUUAGAUACCCUCGUAGUC